ensembl:lncRNA
GGGGAGAGCUUUAGCAAGGAUUUUUUAUAUGAAAAGAGUUCAUCCUAUGUUUCCUUUCCAUUGACAUUUCAUACGACUGCUUGAGAAAUUGCUAUUUCUUGCUGUAGAGAAUGCACAUACACCCUGCACUUGUAUCUGCACAAAGAAUCUUCUAAACAUCACUGUCCGUGUUUCUUUUUGGCACUGGGAUGGAGCUGUGUGGAACACAGACUUGGAUGAACCUUCAGUCAGGUGCAGGGAUGCGUAAUGCUCAUCUAAGAUGUCACGCUGACAGCAGCAGUAGAGAGGCAAAUUUCAUAGGGUGGCAUGCUUUUUUUUUUCUUUUGUUUCAGUGAUAACCGUGGAAGCAUACAAGCAUUACCCAGACAAAAUGGGCGUUUGUCACCUGGGCUUUCUACCAAUGCCAUAGGCAGGAGAAGUCAGCAUGGGAAGCAUCCGUGAGAGCCCUGCAAAAGACUGGUGAGAGUUCCCCUGGUGGCCUCCUUUGGCAAUCUCAGGUCUCUGUAAGCUCUCAAGCUGUGUCGUAAGUCCUCCCGUGGUGCUGACUCAGCUCUCCCUGUCUUUGGUGUAGGAGAGCUGGACUUCAGCUCCUUCCUGUUUCCUGCCUAUCUGCUCCCUGCUUUGCCCAUGGCCCAGUGAGCCUUUUAUUCUUCACCCCCGGACUUGCACGUGUGGAUAACAGCAUCUGCUUAUGUGCGCUUCUUUUCUGCUUGUGGUGUCAGGCUGAGCGACAGCUCCCAGCCGAGCUUGUGCUUAGCGAGACACAGAGUAGCUGGAGAUGGAGUUCUCUGUGUCACUAAAGCAUGAGCUUGAUGGCUGCCGUGAGCCAAAGCAUCAGAGUUUCUGUGUUUGAUUUCUGUGUUGGGCUGAGCGGGUGGAGCCAGGCAAGGGGGCUGAUUUGGACAUGCUGCUUUCCAAAUACGGUGCUGUUUGUGUGGCAAGUGCUUCUGGCAUUCCAAAUUGUGUCAGAUGUCACUGAAUUCCUUGGAAUCUGCUGAGUUGACUUGUGCAGGUUUCAUUCUGGAGCUGAACCCUUCCUGGCCGCUUCUGUGCAUAGCCAUGGCUGUUGCUUCUUUCUUGCCUCCUUUCUUUGUUGUGUUUGGCACUGUGCAAGCCGUGAAUUGCCAGGGAGCAGCUGAAAGUGCUCUGGAGUUGUGGGGGGCAAACUGCCAAGAAACAAGGUGCAGCUUCAAAGCCCUGAAGUUUGGAGAGACGAGAGAUGCACAGCGCUCUGCCUGGUGCAGGACAUGAUGUGCUCUGCAAGGCGCUUUCCACAAAGCCCUCACGUCCUUUCUCAAACUGCAUCCAAAGCAACCCAGUGCCCUGUGCUUGUUGUACCCGGAGGUAUCGGUGCCAGGAGUUGCUGCUGUGUUUGCAAUGCCAUUGUGUCGGCAGGGUGACGUUAAUGGGCUGCAAUGCCCUCAGUCAUUCAAAGCAUCCUUGCAGAUGUUCCUAG